AUGAUACAUUAAAACAAAAUAUCUGAGAGCAGGUCACAGAGCCACUGCCUUUUUAGAUGUUGAGGAGAGUAUCUAUUGCCUAGAAAAAGCCCUAAGCAGCAGAUGACAUUUUCGGUAGAAAGAGGGGUUGACGUUAUAAUAGAUUGGAUGUAGAAUGAUGCAACAGAGGGUAAAGGUUAUGUUUCACGACUUUAUGGUAUUUAGUUUGAUUGGCAAUUUUUUUUUGUUCAACGGAAUAUAGAUGUGUGGGUGAGUUAUGGGAGGGGGGGGGUCAGAGUUAGAGGAUAAAAUGACAGUGCGAUGUCAGAAUGGGAAGGGCUAUCUGCAGUAUAAACUGGAAUACAGUAUUGGACCAAGGACGCUACCUUGAAGCACCCUGUACAAAGAGAGAUAAACCAUUUGGAGUCGCUUUGUUAAAUGAUGGUUAAGUAGCGCAUCAAGAGCAACAGAACAGUCGUCUCUAGCCUUCAUACAUCGAGGUCGACCUUAUCUUUGAUUGAGACUUCCUGUGGCCCUAAACCACCACAGACCAUCAUGAACGAUAGGGUGCGGCACAACCAGGACUUGAGCCAUGUAACGUCCGUUGCCCAAAGCAUCUGCCUGAAUUAGAUCUUAGUUAUUGUAAACAAUAAACAAAUAAAUACGUUUUUUUCUUUUU